GAGAAAGGGGGCUGAACUCGAGGGGUUUCAGAGGGCUAAGAACAAAGGGUCACAUGGAAGGAAUAUAACACAUGUCUGGGGAAUGAAGUAUUUGGAAGGAUUUGGAAUAGAGAGUAUAAAACAAUAUAUUUUAUAUUAUGCCCCUUGACACAUGCUUUAGUCUAACAAUGGAGAGAGAGAAGAGAUAUCUGAAAAGGAAAUGUCAAACCUCAGCUAAAUGGAUUACGAAAUACAAAUGGCUCCAUACUGAAAUGUAUGUCAACGGAAAUGUCAGAUUCCAUGAAGAGACGGAGUCAGCAGUGGCACCAUAGCAUCUCUUUCAUUCUCCCCACAUCAGCCUGAGGGACUGGGGCCCUCAGUAGUCAACACACACACUACCUCUGUGUUUCUCUCUGAUGCACUACCAUCCCAACAGCUCUGACGCCAUCAAGCUAACGGUUUCAAUGCAGAGGGAACUGAACUGUGUGUGUGUGUGUGUGUGUGUGUGUGUGUGUGUGUGUGUGUGUGUGUGUGUGUGUGUGUGUGUGUGUGUGUGUGUGUGUGUGUGUGUGUGUGUGCGCGCGUGCGUGCGUGCGUGCGUGCGUACUUGUGUUCGUGUGGCAUGAGUAAAUUCGAUCUCUCUUGUUUUCACACGGCAGCACCAUGUGCAGUUUCACUCUCACAGAGUUGUUAUUAUAACUUGCUAAUGAGCUGUUUGAUUGGCGUUACCACUCUGCUCACAUUGUAAUUCCCCAGAGGCUGUAGGGAUGAAACAUGGGCUGAUGUGGUUUGUUUCUACUAUUUAGAAACUGAGACAUUCUGUGAUUGUUCCUCCUCACAGUUACCAGAGCCUAAGGCAGCAAGAGAGAGCAAAAUAAGAAGAGAGGUAGAGAGAGAGAGACAGAGAGAAAGAGACAUAGAGACAGAGAGAGACUAAACCUUCCAUAAAAAGCCAUCACCUACAGAUAAAUUAACCCAGAGAAGAGCCCCCCUAAGCAAGCAGGUCCUGGGGCUUUCUUCACAAACAUAAACAGACCCCAUAGAGCCCCAGGGCAGCAACACAAUUAGACCCAACCAAAUCAUGAGCAAACACAAAGAUAAUUACUUGACACAUUGGAAAGGUUUUACAAAAAAACAGAGCAAACUAGAAUGCUAUUUGGCCCUAAACAGUGAGUACACAGUGGCAGAAUACCUGACCACUGUGAAUAACCCAAAAUUAAGGAAAUCUUUGACUAUGUACAGACUCAGUGAGCAUAGCCUUGCUAUUGAGAAACUCUGCCGAAGGCAGACCUGGCUCUCAAGCGGAGACAGGCUAUGUGCACACCACCCACAAAAUGAGGUGGAAACUGAGCUGCACUUCCUAACCUCCCGCCAAAUGUAUGACCAUACAUUCAAAAAAUGUGUGGUUCAACAAGAGUUUUUCUAAGAUCCUCAAAGUUCUUCAAAUAACCAUAGGGUUCUUGGCACUGAAAAUGCCCCCCAAUAGGUUCUUCCAAGAACCCCAUAGAAGGUGGGGUUCAUCAAGGAACCUCCUUAGUUGGUUGGGGUUCUUGCAGGAACCUAACAUUUUUGAUUUGAAAGGACAGCAGGAGUAGGCACUUAACGGAAAAAUGUAAAGAUCUCCUCAAUUUGAGGUAAGGUUUGACCCUUGUAUGAUCUAAAUUGAUAUUGUUUUAUGGUGAUACUAUUUUCAUAUUUGUGCCAAUCUUUCUAAAACAGAAAAUGGACACAUUUCAAUGGAUAUCAAUCAACAAAGAGGUAUACAGACGAGGAGGCAUUCAAAGGAAACCUGUUUGAUCACCAUGCACUGCAGAAUCAUUCUGGCUAUGGAUAUGGAGAACAUCAACACAUGAACAUGAACACGCCAGAGGAUAAACCCAUUGGACUUGGGACUCUGCUGGGAGUUUACCUCAUAUUUAGAUUUUUUAAAUUCUGCUUUGCCAAUAAAAUCAUAAUAAA